CUUUUACAGAUAUUUGGAUUUUAUUUUGGCAGACAGUUUAGCUACUUUUAGACCAACUUGAUUCUUUUGAGGUUUGUUUUUAGCACAGGUCUGCAGUAGCCUCAGUCUAGCCCUAAUACUUCUGGGGUCUUUUCUGAAUGCCCUGCUUGUUCUGAGAUUUCUACACCACAAUUGGUGAUUGCAUCCUUUGAAAGCCUGUUUGCAUAGCAGACAAUGAAGCUGAGCAGAGAAAAACAAGAUGAGAGACAGAUGGAGUAGGAGACCUGAGAAGAUGGCUUGAGUCCAUGAAUUCUGGUGUUCCCUAGGCCACAUUUGCCCCCAUCCUUCCCAGCAGACACUUGAAGAAGCAUCUUUCUUGUGAUCUCCUGGCUGGUACCCUGAAGUCCUGUUAUGCCAAUGGACCAGCAACCCUCGCAGGUAGGAAUUACUGCUAGAAAGACUAUCCUCUCUGCAGGCAAAUUUCUGGAAGGAUACUAUUUUAUGGGGAAAAAUGUGAACAACUGUAGGUAAUUUCACAGUCUGUAGGGCUUGUCUCCUAUUUGUAAUUUCUUACAUGUUUACUCGUGGUGGAAAUGUGGAGGUGGCUAAGGAACAAGCAGGCCCGCUGUGUUUCAGUGGCUUUCAGAGAAGGUGGCGGGAAAUAGUCUCUUCUCAGCAGCAGCUGAAUCCCAGUGUUAGCAGACGGAGCCUUGUUUCUUGAAAGUACAUUCCCAGGGAUUCCCUUGAAGAAUGUGAGAGAUCAGCUGGAAUGAAACUGGAUGUUUUAGGGUCCUGAGGGAAAUGUAAAUCCAGCAGCUUAUUCUCAAGAUGUGGCUCCAGAACCAGCAGCACUGAUUCUUCUAAAGAGUUGAGAGUGCAUUUUAGCUGUGAUAUCUUUGUACUCUUAAGAAAUCCUCCUCAACAAGACAAAACUUGACCAAGAGCAUUCAGUUGUCUUCCAGAAGGCUCCCUUGAGGACUGGGACUCUUCCUGGAUGCACCCAAUUAAUCUAUUGAAACAAGGACUCGUGAUGGCAGCCCCUCACCUGACAAACUGGAUUUUCCCCAGAGAUCAUUUGUAAUGUUUUUCCUGAAUCUUAUUUGUGUUUCCCUAUUAGCAAUGUUAUGUAUUUCUAUAUCGCAAAUCCUAAGUGCCGCCUGUAGAACCUAACCUCCAUUUAUAGCAUGGAACACACAGCCCAUCACGUAUCCUUGCCCUGGCCUUCAGCCUCUGAAUAUUUUAAUAAAAAUCACUCUUUCCUCCUUAAGGACCAUGUUCUUUAAAAGCUUAACACAUAGUUCUUAAUAAUUGGUUGCUUUACUUGAUGUUUCUCUGUUUAUCUUGGCUGCCCAGAAGCUCAGACUUAAAUGUAAGAGUCUACUUACAGUAACAACCUUGUUGCGGAUACAAUUAAUUCUCC
rnacentral:lncRNA from 10 species